CCUACGGGGGGCUGCAGUGGGGAAUAUUGGACAAUGGGCGCAAGCCUGAUCCAGCAAUGCCGCGUGGGUGAAGAAGGCCUUCGGGUCGUAAAGCCCUUUCGGCGGGGACGAUGAUGACGGUACCCGCAGAAGAAGCCCCGGCUAACUUCGUGCCAGCAGCCGCGGUAAUACGAAGGGGGCUAGCGUUGUUCGGAAUGACUGGGCGUAAAGGGCGCGUAGGCGGCGCUGCAAGUCGGGCGUGAAAGCCCUGGGCUCAACCUGGGGACUGCGUCUGA
rnacentral:rRNA from 1 species